GAAGAAGAAGAAGAAGAAGAAGAAGAGGAAACUGAUCACCUGCCUUUUAAGGCGGAGGUUGGAGGGGGGGGGGGCGAUACAAGGACGACGAAGUCAAGCUGCAGGCGGUCCAAGUAAAUAAUGUGCGUGUGUCUUUAUAGAGACAAUAUUCCCGCGACUUCGACUAAAAAGUUCAGGACGCGACAACGCACGAGAGAAGGUCAAGAAAAUCUCCUUGGACCCUGGGAGGAAUGGAUGUCUCCUGCCAUUUUUUUUUUUUUUGUCUAUUCUGCCAUCUUUCUAUUGCUCUAGCGGCCCAGAUCUCCUCACGGUGACCUUCCAUCAGCUUCUGGGCCACACUGAAAAUUUGUGAAUUCGACAUCAAGUCUAGAGAGGGGAAUGUUUUGGUGGAUAUUUGCUGGAUUGAGAGGACUGUCAAGCUGUUACACCACAGUUUGGUGGCAGUUGACGGCUCAUCAUCUGCUCCAAACAGGCUUCUCCCUCAUUUUUUUUUUAAAACAGCUGGAGAGAUGGCAAAGAAUGGUAAAACUGAGGGUGAAGGUAUUAUUAUAGUACUAUAUGCAAUACUCUUGAGUUCUUUGCUAUUCCUGGAUUUCUGGGUAUGGCUUUUCCUUCACACUGAUAAAAAGAAAACACCAAAUCUCAAGUUUAUGGGUUUUUCACUUUGGAGUCAUGGGAGGUCUUCAGGGAGGACUCUGACAACCUUUGUCAUAAAGAACAAGCCUCUGACAAAAGUUCAACCCUUCAACAAUCCUGGCACAAGUCAAUGAAAAUGAUGAUAUAACAACCCUGUCUCCUAGAAAUUACAUUCAACUAAUUUACAACUGCAAAUACAUUUACAGGAAAUGUAAUUGUGACCGGAUUAUGAUUUUUGUUAACGUAAUGAGGAUAUGUUGUUAAUUUGGCCAUUACCUCCCGGAAUGUUUGGCAAGUCACAAAUACGUAGAUACUGAACGUAUCUGUGGGAAAGAUAGGCUGGGGAAAGAUUGUGGUCUGGUUCAAUAUAGGAAAGGUUCACAGUGACUUCAGAUACAAUGUAUGUAUUCACAUUGCACCAAAACCACAAUCUUUCCCUAACCUUAACCAAAGUGUUUUUUUUCCCCUAAACCUAACCACAGACAUGACUCUGACUGCGAACACCCGUAUCUGGGGUGACAGAUGUGUGUUUAGUAUGGCCACCGUCCACCAAAACCACCUCCUGGCAACUCUGCUGCUGUCAAUAACGUUUGGCUUUGUUCAUUAAAAAAAACAAAAAAAACAAUCCAACAUAAUUCAGUCAGCAUUUAUGUUGCCACCACAAAGUGGGGAAACAGUUUAGUAGUGUAUGAAUGUAAUUUCUGGGGGACAGGAUUACA